UACGUAGGGGGCAAGCGUUGUCCGGAUUUAUUGGGCGUAAAGCGCGUGUAGGCGGCCAGGUAGGUCGGUUGUGAAAAUUGGAGGCUCAACCUCCAGACGUCGAUCGAAACCAUCUGGCUAGAGUCCGGAAGAGGAGAAUGGAAUUCCUGGUGUAGCGGUGAAGUGCGCAGAUAUCAGGAAGAACACCCGUGGCGAAAGCGGCUCUCUGGGACGGUACUGACGCUGAGACGCGAAAGCGUGGGGAGCGAACAGG
rnacentral:rRNA from 1 species